GAUGAACGCUGGCGGUAUGCUUACACAUGCAAGUCGAACGGUAACAGGUCUUCGGAUGCUGACGAGUGGCGAACGGGUGAGUAAUACAUCGGAACGUGCCUAGUAGUGGGGGAUAACUACUCGAAAGAGUGGCUAAUACCGCAUGAGAUCUACGGAUGAAAGCAGGGGAUCGCAAGACCUUGUGCUACUAGAGCGGCCGAUGGCAGAUUAGGUAGUUGGUGGGAUAAAGGCUUACCAAGCCGACGAUCUGUAGCUGGUCUGAGAGGACGAUACGCAACACUGAGACUGAGACACGGCCCAGACUCCUACGGGAGGCAGCAGUGGGGAAUUUUGGACAAUGGGCGAAAGCCUGAUCCAGCAAUGCCGCGUGCAGGAUGAAGGCCUUCGGGUUGUAAACUGCUUUUGUACGGAACGAAAAGCCCCGGGUUAAUACCCUGGGGUCAUGACGGUACCGUAAGAAUAAGCACCGGCUAACUACGUGCCAGCCGCCGCCGUAACAC
rnacentral:rRNA from 1 species